CGGAUGGGGCGGCGGGAACGAGAAUCACGCCUCAGCGUAGCCAGGCUUCGAAAUGGCGGCCGCCAUUUGCUCUGCAGUGCGCUGGCGUUACGAGUCGGGCUGGGGCUGUCACCUCUCUGAGAGGUAAAUUCCUGUGAUCUAAUCCAAGCAAAUACAGGAGAGGAGAAAGUGUGAUGAGGGGAGAGCCUAAGGAUUAGCAAGAUAAAAGAAGGGUGAAAAAAAAAAACUCAUACAGACCCCAAGCAAACUGGACAGGUUUAUUGCUCAGAGGGACAGCACCUUUUGCCGAGUCUAGCAUAUGGCCACCAGGAGCUAUGUCAGCAUCUGAGAACUCAGCAAGUCCUGAAGUAAACUGGAUUAGGAGGCCAUUGUAUGGAUUAUUUCACUAUAACUCCAAUAUGAUUGGACUAGAAUCAUUAGCUGAUCCCUCAGAUACCUGGGAAAUUAUAGAGACUAUUGGAAAAGGCACGUAUGGUAAAGUCUAUAAGGUUGCCAAUAAGAAAGAUGGGAGUCUGGCAGCAGUAAAGAUUCUGGAUCCUAUUAGUGAUGUAGAUGAAGAAAUUGAAGCAGAAUAUAAUAUCUUGCAGUUUCUUCCUAACCAUCCUAACGUUGUUAGAUUUUAUGGGAUGUUUUACAAAGCAGAUCAGUAUGUGGGAGGACAGCUCUGGCUAGUACUUGAGCUCUGCAAUGGAGGUUCUGUCACAGAGCUUGUCAAAGGUCUGCUGAAGUGUGGCCAACGACUGGAUGAAGCUAUAAUUUCAUACAUUUUAUAUGGUGCUCUCUUGGGCCUUCAGCAUUUGCACAAUAACCGGAUCAUUCAUCGUGAUGUCAAAGGGAACAACAUUCUUCUGACAACAGAAGGUGGAGUCAAGCUCGUUGACUUUGGUGUUUCAGCCCAGCUCACCAGCACACGGCUGCGUAGAAACACUUCAGUGGGAACACCCUUUUGGAUGGCACCUGAGGUCAUUGCUUGUGAACAGCAGUAUGAUUACUCAUAUGAUGCUCGAUGUGACGUAUGGUCCUUGGGAAUAACAGCUAUUGAGCUGGGGGAUGGAGACCCUCCUUUAUUUGACAUGCAUCCGGUGAAAACCCUUUUUAAAAUUCCAAGAAAUCCUCCUCCUACUUUGCUACAUCCUGAAAAAUGGUGCAGAGGAUUCAAUCAUUUCAUUUCACAGUGUCUUAUCAAGGAUUUUGAAAAGCGUCCUUCAGUCACCCACCUUUUGGAGCACCCGUUUAUUAAACAAGUACACGGUAAAGAUAUGUCUCUGCAAAAACAGCUGGCUGAACUCAUCCAAGAACAGCAGCGGCUAGGCUUCGUAGCCAAAACGAGGCAUGAACGAAUACAUACUAGAAGACCUUACUGUGUGGAUGGAGCUGACAAGUACUCUCUGGAUGAUGAUCUGGUAAAUCUAGAAGUUCUAGAUGAGGAUACAAUUAUCCAUCAGCUGCAGAAACGCUAUGCUGACUUACAAAUUUAUACUUAUGUGGGAGACAUUUUAAUAGCCUUAAACCCCUUCCAGAAUCUCAGCAUUUACUCUCCACAGUUCUCCAAGCUUUAUCAUGGUGUGAAGCGUUCAUCCAAUCCCCCCCACAUAUUUGCCUCUGCAGAUGCUGCCUACCAAAGUAUGGUUACGUUCAGCAAAGAUCAGUGCAUUAUCAUCAGUGGGGAAAGUGGUGCUGGAAAGACAGAAAGUGCCCAUCUGAUCGUCCAACAUUUGACCUUCUUGGGAAAGGCCAAUAACCGUGCUUUGCGUGAGAAAAUUCUUCAGGUGAAUCCUCUGGUUGAAGCAUUUGGGAAUGCUUGCACUGCCAUCAAUGACAACUCAAGUCGCUUCGGAAAAUAUCUGGAAAUGAUGUUUACGCCCACAGGAGCUGUAAUGGGGGCAAAGAUUUCUGAGUAUCUACUUGAAAAAUCAAGGGUCAUAAAACAGGCUGUGGGAGAGAAAAAUUUCCAUAUAUUUUAUUAUAUUUAUGCUGGCCUAUAUCAUCAGAAGAAACUUUCUGAAUAUAGACUUCCUGAAAAAAGGCCUCCUAGAUAUAUUGAUAAUGAAACUGGAAGAGUAAUGCAUGAUAUUGUUACCAAGGAUUCCUAUGGAAGGCAAUUUGAAGCAAUUCAGCAUUGCUUUAGAAUUAUAGGAUUCACUGAUGAGGAAGUGUACUCAGUGUACAGAAUUCUGACUGGAAUCCUAAAUACUGGAAAUAUUGAGUUUGCUGCCAUUUCUUCGCAACACCAAACAGAUAAAAGUGAGGUUCCCAACCCAGAAGCCUUAGAUAAUGCUGCUGCACUGCUAAGUAUUGGGUCAGAAGAACUUCAAGAGGCCCUAACAUCCCACUGUGUUGUAACACGUGGGGAAACUAUUAUUCGAACAAACACUGUGGACAAAGCAGCUGAUGUGCGAGAUGCCAUGUCUAAAGCACUUUAUGGCCGGCUCUUCAGCUGGAUUGUAAAUCGUAUUAAUACACUGCUUCAGCCAGAUAAAAAUAUAUGCAAUGCUGAAAAUGGGAUGAAUGUUGGGAUACUAGAUAUAUUUGGAUUUGAGAACUUUGCAAGAAAUUCCUUUGAACAGCUGUGCAUAAAUAUUGCUAAUGAGCAGAUCCAGUUUUAUUUCAAUCAACAUAUCUUUGCACUUGAGCAAAUGGAAUAUCAGAGUGAGGGAAUCGAUGCUGCUGCAGUGGAGUAUGAGGACAACCGUCCGCUUCUAGAUAUGUUCCUCCAGAAACCCAUGGGUCUUCUUUCUCUACUAGAUGAAGAAAGUCGAUUUCCUCAGGCAACAGACCUAACGUUAGUUGAUAAAUUUGAGGAUAACUUACGAUGCAAAUACUUCUGGAGACCAAAAGGAGUGGAACUGUCAUUUGGUAUUCAGCACUAUGCUGGGAAGGUAUUGUAUGAUGCCUGUGCAUUUCUCGAGAAGAACAGAGACACUCUUCCUGCUGACAUAGUGGUGGUGUUGCGAACUUCAGAGAACAAACUUCUUCAGCAGCUCUUCUCUAGUCCAUUAACAAAAACAGGUAACUUGGCACAGGCAAGAGCCAGAGUGACAGCAGCAUCUAGGUCUUUGCCUUCACAGCUUAGUGCUGGGCGUAUCAAGUCUCCUAAAUGUCUCCUGAAGGUUGACACAAUGGAGGUUAUGCGACACCCUGAGGAAACAACUAACAUGAAGCGACAAACUAUGGCUUCCUAUUUUAGGUAUUCCCUGAUGGAUCUUUUAUCCAAAAUGGUUGUUGGACAACCUCACUUUAUCCGCUGCAUUAAACCUAAUGAUGAUCGAGAAGCACUAACAUUUUCUCAUGAGAGAGUUCUACUGCAGCUACGAUAUACUGGAAUUCUGGAAACUGUCAAAAUACGUCAAAAAGGAUAUUCUCAUCGCAUCCUUUUCGAAGAGUUUGUGAAAAGGUAUUACUACCUUGCUUUCAAGGCACAUGAGACUCCCCUUGGUAGCAGAGAAAACUGUCUUGCCAUUUUGGAGAAAUCUAAAUUAGAAAACUGGAUUCUUGGGAAAACCAAGGUUUUUCUAAAGUAUUACCACAUAGAACAGUUAAAUUUGUUCCUGCGAGAAGUUAUAGGGAGAGUGGUGGUCAUGCAAGCCUAUAUCAAGGGAUGGCUUGGAGCAAGGAGGUACAAGAAAGUCAAAGAGAAAAGAGAAAAUAGUGCUGUUACCAUACAGUCAGCCUGGAGAGGAUAUGAAGCUCGCAGGAAGUACAAGGAAAUAAGGAACAGAAGAACUGAUGCUGCUAUACAUAUUCAAGCAGCUUUCAGGGGAUAUAUUGUUCGUAAAAACUACCCAAGACUGAAAAACAGCACUGGCUGUGUAGCAGAUCCUCAGCAUAUGAGCAGCUGCUCUACCUCUGAUUUUGGCUGUGAAGAGCACUGGCAGCAAACCAAUAAUCAGUCUUCUCCUGUGGUGCCUGAUUUUCUUGACAAACAAACAAAAAAGAAGGAUUUGAAUGAGAUUUCUGCUUCUCCGUUUAUUGUAAAAAAAUCAUUCAAAAUGAAUGACUCACAGCCAAUUAACCAAUCCCAGUCAGUUGCAGACCAUCAGUUGUCACGUCCCUUGAGAUUCUCUAAAAAAGGAGGUUCAGAAAACUGUCUUGAACAGAAGCUGAGAACACCUCGUCGACGAUGUCAGCAGCCCAAAAUGCUGAAUAGCCCUGAGGACAACAUGUACUAUAACCAGUUAAAUGGAACUCUAGAAUAUCAAGGGAGCAAGAGGAAGCCAAGAAAACUUGGUCAAAUAAAAGUGCUUGAUGGAGAGGAUGAGUAUUACAAAUCACUGUCAGCUGUUGAAUCAAUCCCUGAAGAUGACAGCUGUCUCAGUUCCCCAUCUCCUUCUUCUGCAAGGGGAAUGUCUUUUGCUCAAAGCUGAACUUCACUCACUUUUUUGACUAAUACUGCAUGCAGCAACAAUAAUGCAACAGACUGUGAUAAAAUGGGAUGUGAUCUAACAGGACAUGACCGAUGGGACGAGUGCAAAACACUGGGUCUGCUGGUAGUGCUGUGCAGUAGUUCAGCUGGAAAUUCCCAAUGAUUUUUAGAGUGUACCUGCAAAUUAUGAAGAAAAUAGGAGGCAAAGUGCAAAAGGGACAGACACCUUGGACUCCUUUUGCAACAGAAAAUCCGAAGAAGACUUCCAUGAUGUGAGCAUGCCAGCUAUGUCCUAAAUAAUGCCUGUAAGACUGAGGGAAUCAACCAAACACAGAUCAACAAGGAGCUGGUAAGGGAAAAAACUAAGUAUCUCAAAACUCGACUGAUGUAGAAAAUAUGGUUGUCUGGUGGUCCCUUAUGUAUUUGUAGAGCAUCAGAUUCUUGAUAGCUAGCAAACAAAGUGAUGGCCACAAAACUAUUCACUUUUUAAAAUCAAAAUCUGAAAUUUGUUACACACAAUGCUGCAACCGCAGUAGGUGCUGGAGAUAUCCACGUGCUGUAGAGCUACAUUCACUGUUUCAUCAUACAUGGGAGUAGAAGGAUUCACUGGGAAAGGUUGGUGGAACACUGACUAAGGUGAGAAGAAAGCUAUGGUACAGGGAGGGUGGAGGAAAAUUAGCUCUUCUGACUCCUGCCACAUAUGUGUGCUCAAGGAAAUAUGGAUGGUAGCAUUCCUGAAUUCAGGGGUUGUAUCGGUAGUAAAUCUUAAGGUCUUUCUUCAGCACAGCUUUUCACCUCUAAAGUGGUAUUUUGAUGACUGGCAAGUGAACUAGAGCCUUGGACAGAAUCCUGAAGUGAAGAUGAAAUAUUUGCCAAAGCAGAGAAGGAUAGGCUGUAAAAGUUUAGCAAGUAUCUGGUUGUUUCUGCUCAGUAUGUUCAGUGUUUAGAACUGUGGAGGCACACUUGUCUGUUCAGUACAGCCCACAUAAUAUGUGUUUUAUCUUCAUAAAGCAAAGGUUUUAGGCUCUGUUUUUCAGUUACCAUCUGCUCUAAACACUGUCCCUAGGCACAUUAGAAAUAUAUAUGUUGUGGGCAUGUUGGCUUAUCACUGUGCUUGCAUAGGCUGCGUGUUUCUUAUCUGGUCUCUACUCCUCAGCUAUCUUUCCCACAGAAAGAUUGAUAUCUGCUUAUAAUUCCAAGUUGCUGGGAGAGUGUACAAGUGUAGGAGAGACUGACAUGAAAUUGUGGGAUGGAAGGGAUUUAUGAAAGAGUGUGGAUUUUGCAAGGGAAUGAUGUGGGACAUCUUAAUAAUAUGGUCCCACGAUAUGUGCCUCUGCUUCUCAGUUGGGCUACUCAGUUCAACUCUUUGCUCUUCAGUAAGAUCAGUAUGUGGUGUGGGACAAGGGGUGUUGUCUCCUGUUGUUUCCUUUAGUAGGAACAGAAUAACAGCGUUCUACUGCUUUAUAGAGGAGUUGUGAAGAUAAAUGUGCUUAGGACUGCAGUGACAAGUACCACCGACACACUGACUAAAGCUCCUCCCAAUACGCUUGCUGCACAAUUUGACCCUCUUACUCAGGUCUGUACCAAGAUUUGGUCACUGAUCCAAUUGCCAUAUUUUCCCCCACCUCCCCAGCUGCACUCCUGUGAUACAGAAAAAUGUCCUGAAUUGUGCCCAUUACUUUCAUACUCCUCCCUGUCCCCACAACACACCUGGGUGACAUACCCUGUCCCUGGUAAGCUUGGCUGACUUACACAAAGAUGAAGAAAGGUGGCUAUGAAAAAUACUUGUGCUACUGGCUGGUGGCAGGUGAGAACAGGAAAGUGGAGACAAGUUCCCACCCCUUAUCUAUUGUUCCAUCCCCUAUCUGUUGAGUAUGCGUAAAUGGGUUAAGUGUAAGAAGCUGUAUAUGCCUUUGUAGGGACUUCUGAGUGAAAUGUUAUUUUAGCCAAAAAGAACACCCCACAGAGAUGAAAACAGCUUCAAUCUAUCAUUCAGAGCAUUCCAGUCAUUCGUCUUGGUAUUCUCAUUAGCAGUGACCCCAGCAUCAGCAUACAUGAGGCCAUGCUCCUUGUAGCUUCUUCCAGCCUCAGCACUGAAGUGGUGCAUGCUCUGAGGUUACUUUUUCUGCCUCCCCACCUAAAGUGAUAGCCUUUUGCCUCUGCCCCCUCCCAAAGUGCUGGCUUGCACAGGAGAAGGAGAUCAAACAUACCCACCCUGUAACACACACAAACAAGAGCUGAGACCCUGGCCAACCAAGGGGCUGCAGGAAUGUCAGCAGAUAAAGUUGGGCUGUAAUGUAACAAGAAAGUCCUGGUCUCCAGGCUGCUACCUCCUGGCUCCAUGCAUCAGUGUUGAUUCAGGGUCUGUGUAGCUGUGUUUCUGUUUCCUGCAUCCCUCCUCAAGUGCUUUCCAGUUUUUGAUGCUUUACUUAAAGCAGUGCAAGUAGCAAAUAAACAGUAGUGAAGCAUAUACCAAAGGAAAGAACAAAGGUAACAAAAUCAUGCUAUUUGUAAGUAAGGAUAAGAAAAUACUGAUCAGCUGAGGCGUGCCUGACUGGUGGAGCAACAGUAAACAGAGGAAGUGAUUAGUUUUAUAGACAAUGUGAUCAAAAUCCCUGCGAGGGCUAUAAAAUAGAGAGCAGCAACUGAAUUGAUGACCAAUGAGGCAUAUGGUAUCUAAAUUAACAGAGAGCGUAGAAUCUCCAGGAGGAGGUCAUCGGGUAUCAGAAAGCUGAGGCAGAAGGUUCCUUUUGUCUCUUUACAUUAAAUUCCUGAGAUAAGGUAAUGCUAUACUAAUAUGGAAAACUAGAUAAAAUUGGGAAAUGCAAUGCUUUUUCUUGAGCCUUUGCUGGAGAGUUUAAUGGAUAAGGCUAUGCAUAUUGCUAGAACUAUUUUUAUCUUUUCAGGGAGGUUGGGGAGAACUACUUCUAACCUCUCCGUGUGUAUUUCUAAAUCUUGAUUUAAGAGGGAUUUGAUUACUCCUGUUCUCUUAUAACACUGUUUAACUUCUAGAAUGCAAAUGAUCUUAUCCUUAAUUUAGAGCCAAGUAAAUGAGAACAGGCAGGAGAAUUCAUAAAUCAACUGAUAGCUAUAUCUCAUUAAAGAGAAUCAUUGGCACUGUAGAAUAGCUUCUUUCUGAAUCACUCCGGUGCCAAGUAUACUUUGUGUGUGUAGCAGUGGAAGUGAAAAAUGUAGCAAAUCAGGAGCCCGGUUCAGUUUUUAUGGGCAGCUAUUCUACUAACUUCUGUAACAAUUUUGACAGGAGAAGAACGUGAUUGUUCAACCCCGUACUCUGGUGCAAUUGAUGAGGAUCACAGCAUUUUAUAAUGUUAAUCUG